rnacentral:rRNA from 1 species
AGCGAACGCUGGCGGCAGGCUUAUCACAUGCAAGUCGAGCGGGCACUUCGGUGUCAGCGGCAGACGGGUGAGUAACACGUGGGAACGUACCCUUUGGUUCGGAAUAACGCUGGGAAACUAGCGCUAAUACCGGAUACGCCCUUUUGGGGAAAGGCUUGCUGCCGAAGGAUCGGCCCGCGUCUGAUUAGCUAGUUGGUGGGGUAAUGGCCUACCAAGGCGACGAUCAGUAGCUGGUCUGAGAGGAUGAUCAGCCACACUGGGACUGAGACACGGCCCAGACUCCUACGGGAGGCAGCAGUGGGGAAUAUUGGACAAUGGGCGCAAGCCUGAUCCAGCCAUGCCGCGUGAGUGAUGAAGGCCUUAGGGUUGUAAAGCUCUUUUGUCCGGGACGAUAAUGACGGUACCGGAAGAAUAAGCCCCGGCUAACUUCGUG